CCUACGGGUGGCAGCAGUGGGGAAUAUUGGGCAAUGGGCGCAAGCCUGACCCAGCAACGCCGCGUGAAGGAAGAAGGCUUUCGGGUUGUAAACUUCUUUUAAGAGGGAAGAGCAGAAGACGGUACCUCUUGAAUAAGCCACGGCUAACUACGUGCCAGCAGCCGCGGUAAUACGUAGGUGGCAAGCGUUGUCCGGAUUUACUGGGUGUAAAGGGCGUGUAGCCGGGCUGACAAGUCAGAUGUGAAAUCCGGGGGCUCAACCCCCGAAUUGCAUUUGAAACUGUUGGUGUUGAUUAUCGAAGAGGAAGGCGGAAUUCGUGGUGUAGCGGUGAAAUGCUUAGAUAUUAGGAGGAACACCAGGGGCGAAGGCGGCCUGCUGGACGACAACUGA
rnacentral:rRNA from 1 species